CUAUUAUGAGGUCAGGGUCAUUUAUAAGAAAAGUACUGGUUUCAUGUAAGCAUCUCAAACCUGUCUUUUCUCAAGAUGUAGGUAUCUGUGUGACGGAGUGCCGUGUAGACCAGGACUGUGGGGAAGGAAGACUAUGCAUCAGUAAUGGGUGUGGCCGUGUCUGCUUCCCAGGGCGAAGAGAGGCCUGCGAGCACCAGUGCAGAGAAGACAGGGACUGUGGGAGUGGACAUCAGUGCGUGAGGAAGGGCUGUGGGCACGUCUGCGCCCCCGUCCAUCAAGUCGAUGUAGGUAUCUGUGUGACGGAGUGCAAGGUAGACCAGGACUGUGGGGCAGGAAGACGAUGCACCAGCAAUGGAUGUGGCCGGGUCUGCUCCCCAAUCCAGCGAAGAGAGGCCUGCGAGCACCAGUGCAGAGAAGACAGGGACUGUGGGAGUGGACAUCAGUGCGUGAGGAAGGGCUGUGGGCACGUCUGCGCCCCCGUCCAUCAAGUCGAUGUAGGUAUCUGUGUGACGGAGUGCCGUGUAGACCAGGACUGUGGGGAAGGAAGACAAUGCACCAGCAAUGGAUGUGGCCGUGUCUGCUCCCCAGCCCAGCAAAGAGAGGCCUGCGAGCACCAAUGCAGAGAAGACAAGGACUGUGGGAGUGGACAUCAGUGCGUGAGGAAGGGCUGUGGGCACGUCUGCUCCCCCAUCCCUCAAGUAGGUAUCUGUGUGACGGAGUGCAAUGUAGACCAGGACUGUGGGGCAGGAAGACGAUGCACCAGCAAUGGAUGUGGCCGGGUCUGCUCCCCACCCCAGGGAGGAGGACUCUGUGUGGACCGCUGCCGAGGAAACUGGGACUGUGGGGCCGGAGAAGAAUGUAUCAGGAAGGGAUGUGGACGGGUCUGCUCUCCAGCCCAGGAGCCAGGUAAGAGCCCUGCCUAGGUCUCCAACCCCACACAACCCAGGAGGGGACUGUGUGCUUACCUCUGCCUGGACUCCCCUUCCUUAGAGGGUUAAUUCCCA
rnacentral:lncRNA from 1 species